GGUGAGGGCAAGGGAAGGCAACGGGCCGCCCUCGCCCGCCGAAGCGGGGGAGAUCGGGGUUUAGCGGGGUGGACCUGCCGCAGCGAGGCGGGGAGCGGGUCUCGGCGCCCUUCUUCUUGAAGAUGACACCAGUUACUCGACAAGAAGUUCUUGGUCUUUACCGCAAGAUAUUCCGAAUAGCCAAGAAAUGGCAGUCGGUGUCAGGCCAGAUAGAAGAGACCAUGAAAGAGAGAGAGUACAUUGAAAGUGAAGCCAGAACCUUGUUCCGAAAAAACAAAAACGUGACGGAUCCAAAAUUGAUUAAGCAGUGUAUAGAAGAAUGUGAGGCAAGAAUAGAAAUUGGACUUCACUAUAACAUCCCCUACCCCAGACCUAUCCAUCUGCCUCCUAUGGGUCUUGCCCAUAAACAAGGACGUACGUUGCGACAUCAGGAAAAGUUAAGGAAGAUUUCUAAGCCAAUAUACCUGAAAUCCCAUGAUGAAGUUUCAUAACCCACCAUUUAAGCUGUGAUGUAUAAUCACAUGACUUAAGCUGUGGACUGUCACCCAGGUGAUUUGUGUGCACAACUGUGAAUUAACCUGUUUGGGUCACUUGCUCACAUAUUUCCUGAGGCCAAAAAGCUAACUGAUACAUGGCAGAUGAUGGGUGUUUAUUAGUCCAACAUGCAAGAGGGCAAGAGAAGGAAGUACAAUGGGAGAAAGGAAACAGGCCCAAUUUAUCACGCACCUGGGAUAUGCAGGGCACGAAUAGAUGUUUGCAUGAAGAAAUUUGGAACUUUCUCCAGGUUUCAGCCAAAUUAUGGGCAAAGAAUCAUAAAGGAUUUUUGGAAGUGAUUCUGUGAUUACCAGGGAUUCUCUACCCCAUCGUGCACCCUCCAAAAAAAGGCCUCUCACAUAAGCUCCGUCUUCUGCCAUUUUCUCCAUCGUCUGCUCCUGUUUCAUCACCUAGAAUGAUUAAACCAUGGCUUGAUUUAAUUCUUAUCUGGAGUAUAUUAAAUCCUGUAAGUGAUAGUCUGAAAGUACUCCUUUAAAUAAAAUUGGUUUUCAUUUGAAAA